rnacentral:rRNA from 1 species
UACGUAGGGGGCUAGCGUUGUCCGGAUUUAUUGGGCGUAAAGAGCGUGUAGGCGGCCAGAUAGGUCCGUUGUGAAAACCCGAGGCUUAACCUCGGGACGUCGAUGGAAACCAUUUGGCUAGAGUCCGGAAGAGGAGAGUGGAAUUCCUGGUGUAGCGGUGAAAUGCGCAGAUAUCUGCAGGAACACCCGUGGCGAAAGCGGCGCGCUGGACCACUACUGACGCUGAGGAACGAAAGCUAGGGGAGCAAACAGG